rnacentral:rRNA from 1 species
AGUGAACGCUGGCGGUAGGCCUAACACAUGCAAGUCGAACGGCAGCACAGUAUGCGCUUGCUCUUUCGGGCGGCGAGUGGCGGACGGGUGAGGAAUACAUCGUCAUCUACUUAUUCGGGGGGGACAACUUAGGGCAACUUACGCUAAUACCUCAUACCACUAACGGGUGAAAGCAAGGUGUCUUCGGACCAUGGCCGCACUAAUGAGCCGAUGUCCGAUUUGUUAGCUGGCGGGUGAAAGGCCCACCAAGCGAACGAACCGUGGCUGGUCUGGCAGGAGGAUCAGCCACACGGGAACUGGAACACGGUCCAGACUCCUACGGGAGGCAGCAGAGGGGAAUAUUGGACAAUGGGCGCAAUCCUGAUCCAGCCAGACCGCGUGGGUGAAGAAGGCCUUCGGGUUGUAAAGCCCUUUUGUUGGGAAAGAAAAGCAGCAGGUUAAUACCCCGCUGUUCUGACGGUACCCAAAGAAUAAGCACCGGCUAACUUCGUG